GUUCAGCAAGGCAGCUGCACUCCUCAUCUCUAACACGAGACAGACACUCAUAUGCAUCUUCAGACAGUUUCACCAGUCCAACCACUGCCUCCCUACCAAACUGUACUUCUCCAGCUCAACCCUUUGCCUCAUCACUUGAGUGUGGAGCUUUAUUCACUCAAACUUCUGCCUUGACCUACCAAAGCAGUAUCUCCCCCAACCACAGCAGCACUUCGGCAAGCAGUUCUUCUAGUCAGCUGCCAGUAUGCUCGCUGGAAAGCUGCCCUUGCACCAGUCAGCCGUCUACCUCAUCAUUUGGCAGAAGAACUUCAGUUGAUCCAACUCUGGUCCUGACCUGCUAAUAUUGCUCAAGCUCACCCUACCAGGGCAGCACUCCAGCAAGUCAUUAUUCUACGUUAUCCUCUACCUCAACACACCAUCAGUCAGCAAACUAUGAUAACUACCUGUCAGUCAUGGCUGCACUGUCUGACAUGUCCUCUGAUGAUGAGGAAUUGAACCAGGUUAUACUAGCAAGCCUGCAGAGUGAACGAAGGACCACAGGAUGUUUGGUGCCAGUGAGAGAUUUUUUUUCAAGAUCUUGCAACAAAAAUGAACCAUCAGAAGAAAUGCAAGUUUAACAUUAACUAAUCCACAGUCAUGGAUGGAGCCAUCAGAGGAUUUAAAUGAAGUAAAUAGGAUCGAUGUCACACUAUUUGUCAGGUUUUCUGAUGAUAUGGGAGUACCUGAAGAGGCUGUGGACCAUGAGGAGAAUUUCUAAGACUUCUAACAGAAGCUUUUUCCCAAUAUCCAAUGUUUGAGAGAAUAAGGCAAAAUUAACUUGGCACUUGACAGCGCUGAGAGGACAGGUACUUCAUUGCAGGCAGGGCCAUUGCAGUAAGCCUUGUACACAACGGCCCUCCCGCAGGCUUUCUGUCCCUAACUCCAACCCCAACAAGAUCUGCUAGCAACAACAAAGCCACUUGAGGAGUAUCUGGCCAAUGCUGGCUGCCUGAGGCUCCUGUGGAGGUUGGAAGACAAGAAUCUGCUUGUAGAUGACAUCCUGGUGUUCCAAGUGAUGCAAGUAGUCCUUUUGAGAGAUACAUUUGUAUCCUGUUUUUUGCCUCUCCGAUAAAAAAAAACUGAAACCCAUGAAGACUGCCUUGUGUUCAGGGUUUUCUGUGGGCCGUUUUUGUUGAAGUGUUAAGUGUGCUAUACCAUGCCUACUCUCCACAUGAAUUGGCAAAGUGUGCUUGGGUGUGACUCUUGGCAGGUUACUUUGUACCCUGAAAAAUAUGAAUUUGACAUACUUGCUUUACUGUUGUAACUAACCUGCAGUACAAUACAUGUGCAUAUUUUAAUAGGGUUUAAAUUCCUAUAUUUUUCAUCAUUAUAAUUUUUCUUUGAUCUGCUACAUGCAAAUUGAUAUUGAAUGAUAUCAAGGGCGAAACCUUUAUUCAGACAUUAGGUGGGGGGUCAGAUAGGUAUGGGGUGGUAGGCUUA